AAAACUUGGUUUUCGAGCGUUUCGCUGCCCCAGGGGGGCAGUGGGCCCCAUGUCCAAUUCAUCAAGUGCCUAAUGAGUGGCCUCAGAGGUCCCGGCCCAUCCAUUCCAGAAGCUCUCUCUGCCUCGUAAAGCUGGUGAUUUUGCCAGCGUCCUGGAUGUUCGUUCUGGUCUGCACAGAAGAGUCACAUUUCCUCCUGGAAUCGGGACCAGGACACAGACAGACCCGCAGACACAGGAAACGCCAGAUUUGUAUCAAGUGAGCCCCUGCGAAUUGAUCCGGAGAAAAUAUGAACUCGUCUGUCUCAAGGACUGUGGUUCGCUAGCAGACAGAGAGAGCUAUUGGAUACGUGGAAACCAGAGAAAAUAAAAUUAGUGAUUCUGGAAAGAGGUUCAUUCAGAUUUAUGCAGGCCCAGGAAGGUUGUGAGGAUUUGAGAUGGCGAAUGAAAAGACUGGGCCCUUAGCAUGUGCCAGACGGAGGAGGGUUGGGUCAUGGCCCUCUGUGGGCCAGUUCCUGGAGCCCAGGAACAAAGGGGCACGGGGGCCUCCUGGCAUCACAUCUUGGCCUCCUGUGACUGGGGCCACCCUAGGAUAUUAGCAGACUCAAGCAGAAGCUCGGAGAAACACUUACUGUUUUCACCUGCACGCUGGUGCCCCUGCUGUGCGUCUGUGCAGUGCCUGAGCUGCUGGCCUGAUGGAGGAUAGGAGGUGCACGGAGAAGCCCAGUCACCGCGUCCAUCCCAGCAGAAG